UAUGAUUUCAUCCUUCAAGGCCAAACAACCAAAAAUGGCACAUAUACUAGGCAAAAUCAUGACAUAUCUUUUGCUUUUUUAUUUUUGUUUUCAUGUUCAACAUUAAAUUUGUACUGCUUUGUGAAUAGAAACGAGACGAAAAAAAAAAAGACGAAAAGAUUCGUCAGCUGCAAAUGGCCUCGACAACGCCGUGUGCAUCAUGGAGUGUUGCGAGCUCCUGACGUCGGACUUUCAAUAGCGAAAAUGUAACUGCUGCACAGAAGUGUAAUCAGACUGGUCAAACUCACACUCUUCCACAAAUGGUAUAUGCAUGUCAAAAAGAAAUCAUUGGCCAUGACAGUGGGCCACGCAUGCUUAUUUUAGCAGACGGUUUUACCCUUUUUUAGAAAUCUGUCGGUACCAAACACCACUCAAUUUUGUUUGUUUGCCUACGUCGCUGGUGUGCCAGAGUGUUUGUAAUAUUAGUACUGGCCGAAUUGAGCUGAAUCAGAAAAACAGCUGGCAUUGAAUUCGUCAAAUUACGUGAUGGUGGUCAAAUCGAUGGCCACUCCAGUGUAUGCAAUCUACUCGACAUGCUUGGGAAAGACAUCAGCAAUCUUUCACGGCGGGGAGUUUUCACUUAUUUUCACACAUCAUUUACAACCAGGAUGGUCAAUAUGGAAAACGUCGGAAAAACAUGUUUAAUUUGAUAUGGCGAUGUUUGAACAAAAAAGGAAACAAAGU